GACGAACGCUGGCGGCGUGCCUAAUACAUGCAAGUUGAGCGCUGAAGGUUGGUACUUGUACCAACUGGAUGAGCAGCGAACGGGUGAGUAACGCGUGGGGAAUCUGCCUUUGAGCGGGGGACAACAUUUGGAAACGAAUGCUAAUACCGCAUAAAAACUUUAAACACAAGUUUUAAGUUUGAAAGAUGCAAUUGCAUCACUCAAAGAUGAUCCCGCGUUGUAUUAGCUAGUUGGUGAGGUAAAGGCUCACCAAGGCGAUGAUACAUAGCCGACCUGAGAGGGUGAUCGGCCACAUUGGGACUGAGACACGGCCCAAACUCCUACGGGAGGCAGCAGGAGGGAAUCUUCGGCAAUGGACGAAAGUCUGACCGAGCAACGCCGCGGGAGGGAAGAAGGUUUUCGGAUCGGAAAACUCUGUUGGUAGAGAAGAACGUUGGUGAGAGUGGAAAGCUCAUCAAGUGACGGUAACUACCCAGAAAGGGACGGCUAACUACGUG
rnacentral:rRNA from 1 species